rnacentral:misc_RNA from 1 species
AUUCUAACCAUGAUGUCGUACAUCAUACUUGGGUUCCUGUGUGUGAUCCCAUCAAGCUGUUUGUCUAUUCUUACUGAUGGGGAAACUCAGAAUGGCACGCUACGAGAUGAAUCAGGGGACUCAAAGACCGAUGUCUUCAGACAGUUGUUGAACCAGGAGACUCUGAUUCGAAUGUCAUUGGUGAAGAAUGUUCAUAGUCUAAUGAAAGAUAUGGUCGAGAUGAAAGAAAGCAUGUCAACUAGCAACAAACGACUCCAUGAUGCGGAGAAAGAAAUCUCAAGCUUAAAAAAUGAGGUACAUUACUGAAAACCGAGAACCAGAAAUUGAAAGAAGAAGCUGUAAAAUUUCAAGAAGAGUUCAAGACUACUGACAGCAGGUUUGAUGAAAUUAAAGGGAAUUUUACAAUGGUUUCAUACAGCCGAGAUCAAUAUGAAACACAUGUGAAUAAAAAAUUAGAAGACUUUGAAAAAAAUACAUCUACGAUUCUGAAUGACAUCAAGAUAGAGGUGCGCUAUCUGUCUGUGACGUUACUGGACUUGAAUAAGCAUACCAUGGAACUGAACAUGUCCAUUCCGGACCUGAUAGAAAGCAAACUUACAGAGUAUUCAGCCUACUUGAAUAGAUCUGUCGGUGAUAUAAACCAAAAGUUGCUCACCUCAAAGGAAUAUCAAGAACAGCUUGUGUAUAACUUGUCUGCAUUAGGAAGUAACCAAUCUAGCUUAAUGAAAAUAAUAUCAGAUAAAAUGAACAACACCAUAACUUCAAUCAAAGCGGAUGUUGAGCAAUCCCAGAAGUCCCAGUUGAAAUUGUCGGCUGCUGUGUCGUCACUUGAGGUUUUCAGAAUGAACAUGUCCUUGUUGAACAACUGCGCUUCAAAGACAAGUGUGAGCUUCACAGUCGGGGUGACGAGUUCGUCUAGUAGCUGGUCUGGAGACAUCUUGGUGUUCCCUCAUGUUAUCACCAAUAAUGGAAACGGAUACAAUCCGAGUACGGGGAAAUUCAUCGCCCCCACGGACGGGACAUACGUCUUUUUUGUUACUGUCAAUUCGUACAGCGCAAAUACUGUAUAUUUAGAUAUUGUUCUGAAUGGUUCAAAGAAAGUCAGAACAAUGUCCCACAACACUGCUAACUACAUGACGGGAACAAACAUGGCGGUGCUACAGUUGUACACAGGAAACUCUGUCUGGGUCAGUCGUUACAGCGGGAAAAGUUAUUACUCUCGUAGUGUUCCCAUUACAACCUUUUCUGGGUUUCUUCUGUAAAAAACUGAAUAUGAAAAAAUCUAUCCAAGCCAGACCUCAUUGUUCUAAAUAAUGAUUUUUGUAUCUUG